rnacentral:rRNA from 1 species
GGUUAAGCGACUAAGCGUACACGGUGGAUGCCCUGGCAGUCAGAGGCGAUGAAGGACGUGCUAAUCUGCGAUAAGCGUCGGUGAGGUGAUAUGAACCGUUAUAACCGGCGAUUUCCGAAUGGGGAAACCCAGUGUGUUUCGACACACUAUCAUUAACUGAAUCCAUAGGUUAAUGAGGCGAACCGGGGGAACUGAAACAUCUAAGUACCCCGAGGAAAAGAAAUCAACCGAGAUUCCCCCAGUAGCGGCGAGCGAACGGGGAGGAGCCCAGAGCCUGAAUCAGUGUGUGUGUUAGUGGAAGCGUCUGGAAAGGCGCGCGAUACAGGGUGACAGCCCCGUACACAAAAAUGCACAUAUUGUGAGCUCGAUGAGUAGGGCGGGACACGUGGUAUCCUGUCUGAAUAUGGGGGGACCAUCCUCCAAGGCUAAAUACUCCUGACUGACCGAUAGUGAACCAGUACCGUGAGGGAAAGGCGAAAAGAACCCCGGCGAGGGGAGUGAAAAAGAACCUGAAACCGUGUACGUACAAGCAGUGGGAGCCUCUUAAUGGGGUGACUGCGUACCUUUUGUAUAAUGGGUCAGCGACUUAUAUUCUGUAGCAAGGUUAACCGAAUAGGGGAGCCGAAGGGAAACCGAGUCUUAACUGGGCGUUAAGUUGCAGGGUAUAGACCCGAAACCCGGUGAUCUAGCCAUGGGCAGGUUGAAGGUUGGGUAACACUAACUGGAGGACCGAACCGACUAAUGUUGAAAAAUUAGCGGAUGACUUGUGGCUGGGGGUGAAAGGCCAAUCAAACCGGGA